UCCGAGAUGGUGUAACGGUAACAUUACCGCCUCUCAAUAUACCCAGUCAUUUGGAGUGCGCGGUAGCCCGGGGUUCGAUUCCCCGUCUCGGAA